AUGUACAUUGCCUACAAUUUUAAUGCAUGGAACCCCAUCAAAAAUCCAUAGUUAAGUGCACUUGGGCUAGAGUAGUAUUGGUAUGGGUGACCUCUCUGGAAGUCCUAGUAUUUUACAUG
rnacentral:rRNA from 1 species